AACGAACGCUGGCGGCAGGCUUAACACAUGCAAGUCGAACGGGCGUAGCAAUACGUCAGUGGCGGACGGGUGAGUAACACGUGGGAAUAUGCCUUUCGGUUCGGAACAACUCGGGGAAACCCGUGCUAAUUCCGGAUACGCCCUUACGGGAAAGAUUUAUCGCCGAAAGAUUAGCCCGCGUUGGAUUAGCUAGUUGGUGAGGUAAAGGCUCACCAAGGCGACGAUCCAUAGCUGGUUUGAGAGAACGACCAGCCACACUGGGACUGAGACACGGCCCAGACUCCUACGGGAGGCAGCAGUGGGGAAUCUUGGACAAUGGGCGCAAGCCUGAUCCAGCCAUGCCGCGUGAGUGAUGAAGGCCUUCGGUUGUAAAC
rnacentral:rRNA from 1 species